rnacentral:rRNA from 1 species
GACGAAUGCUGGCGGCGUGCCUAAUACAUGCAAGUCGAGCGAGCUUGCCUAGAUGAAUUUGGUGCUUGCACCAGAUGAAACUAGAUACAAGCGAGCGGCGGACGGGUGAGUAACACGUGGGUAACCUGCCCAAGAGACUGGGAUAACACCUGGAAACAGAUGCUAAUACCGGAUAACAACACUAGACGCAUGUCUAGAGUUUAAAAGAUGGUUCUGCUAUCACUCUUGGAUGGACCUGCGGUGCAUUAGCUAGUUGGUAAGGUAACGGCUUACCAAGGCAAUGAUGCAUAGCCGAGUUGAGAGACUGAUCGGCCACAUUGGGACUGAGACACGGCCCAAACUCCUACGGGAGGCAGCAGUAGGGAAUCUUCCACAAUGGACGCAAGUCUGAUGGAGCAACGCCGCGUGAGUGAAGAAGGGUUUCGGCUCGUAAAGCUCUGUUGGUAGUGAAGAAAGAUAGAGGUAGUAACUGGCCUUUAUUUGACGGUAAUUACUUAGAAAGUCACGGCUAACUACGUGCCAGCAGCCGCGGUAAUACGUAGGUGGCAAGCGUUGUCCGGAUUUAUUGGGCGUAAAGCGAGUGCAGGCGGUUCAAUAAGUCUGAUGUGAAAGCCUUCGGCUCAACCGGAGAAUUGCAUCAGAAACUGUUGAACUUGAGUGCAGAAGAGGAGAGUGGAACUCCAUGUGUAGCGGUGGAAUGCGUAGAUAUAUGGAAGAACACCAGUGGCGAAGGCGGCUCUCUGGUCUGCAACUGACGCUGAGGCUCGAAAGCAUGGGUAGCGAACAGG